GCCGAAGCAAUGAGGUGAGCGGAUAUUUCACCGCGCUCUUCACCUGCUCCCUGAACUUGGACUGGGUCACCGCGUAAAUAAAUGUGUUGGUGCAGCAGCUGAGGUUACUCAGCAAAUACCCGACGUAGGCACCGACAUAGCAA